rnacentral:rRNA from 1 species
UGGGGAAUUUUGGACAAUGGGGGCAACCCUGAUCCAGCAAUGCCGCGUGUGUGAAGAAGGCCUUCGGGUUGUAAAGCACUUUUGUCCGGAAAGAAAUGGCGCUGGUUAAUACCUGGCGUCGAUGACGGUACCGGAAGAAUAAGCACCGGCUAACUACGUGCCAGCAGCCGCGGUAAUACGUAGGGUGCGAGCGUUAAUCGGAAUUACUGGGCGUAAAGCGUGCGCAGGCGGUUUUGUAAGACAGGCGUGAAAUCCCCGGGCUUAACCUGGGAAUUGCGCUUGUGACUGCAAGGCUAGAGUGCGUCAGAGGGGGGUAGAAUUCCACGUGUAGCAGUGAAAUGCGUAGAGAUGUGGAGGAAUACCGAUGGCGAAGGCAGCCCCCUGGGACGUGACUGACGCUCAUGCACGAAAGCGUGGGGAGCAAACAGGAUUAGAUACCCUGGUAGUCCACGCCCUAAACGAUGUCAACUAGUUGUUGGGGAUUCAUUUCCUCAGUAACGUAGCUAACGCGUGAAGUUGACCGCCUGGGGAGUACGGUCGCAAGAUUA